rnacentral:lncRNA from 1 species
UGGCAUUUUAGUUGUAUUCAAAUUAUUUUAUAUUAUGUUUUCCUUGUUUUCUGAUGAAACAUAUAUCUUACUGCAUCAUUUGUUUUUAAUUAAUGCUUGUGCUGAAUUAUUGUGGUUAAGGUUUCCUUGCAAAGAUUACUUUAUGAAACUGCUAAAUCAUAUGAGUAUCAACUUUUGGAGAAAUUUUCAGUCUGUCUUUCCUGUUUUUAUGCUGUUUUCUAAUCAAAGACUAGAAAAUAGCAUUUCCAUUACAUCCAUAUGUAACUUUAUAUUACUUUAGUCAGCAGUUACUAACUGGCAAGGCAAUUUCAAUGAUCAUUGUGACAUACCCACACUCUGGUGACAUCAACUGGAAGGUUGAAGAAUAAAUUUAACAGGCUGUGCCUGAAUCCUUCGAAAUGAUAAGUGACUGUUUUACUUUAUGGCCAUCUUGAAGGAUGAGGACUGACAGGCUGCAUCCAGCUUUCUCUAAAUACAUGUAUAGAUAUAGGAUCUGGAAUUGAACUUGGAUAUUCCAAGUAAUAAAUGACAGCAUUUUGGUCUAUAUGAAAGGAAGUUUUUAUAAUAUUUGUAUGAUGGCAGCUGACUUCUUCUUUAGAUCCUUUAAAUAAACUUUGUUAUUUAGAUUGUUUUAUAACAUUUAACACUAAUUAUAGAUAUGAAUUUUGUUGUCAUUUAUAUAAUCACGUAGUGUUUGAACAUAUUUCAAUAAAAUUUGAUUGGCAACAUCGAAUUUUAUUAUUUGGGCUCAGGAACAUUGUAAUGAUUUAAUGAAAAUUAAUGGCAAUUUAGGCAUUAAUAUAUUGGAAAAUGCUUGCAAAUUGAAUUCUCAAAGUGCUUUAAUUUCAUAAGCUGGGAUUAGUGUAU